GACAGAGGCCUCGAGCGUUAGGCGGAAUCACUGGGCUUAAAGCGCGUGUAGGCGGGCUCGUUAAGUGUCUUGUGAAAUCCCACGGCUCAACCGUGGAACUGCUGGGCAUACUGACGAUCUUGAGGCACUCAGGGGCUGUCGGAACAAAUGGUGGAGCGGUGAAAUGCGUAGAUAUCAUUUGGAACGCCAACGGUGAAAACAGACAGCUGGGGGUGUCCUGACGCUGAUGCGCGAAAGCCAGGGGAGCGAACGGG
rnacentral:rRNA from 1 species